GCCACCGUAGCUCAGUUGGUAGAGCAACUGAUUCGUAAUCAGUAGGUCAGCAGUUCGACUCUGCUCGGUGGCU
rnacentral:tRNA from 1 species